rnacentral:rRNA from 1 species
AUUGAACGCUGGCGUUAGGCCUAUCACAUGCAAGUCGAAUUGUAACAUGAAACAGCUUGCUGUUUCGCUGACGAGUGGCGGACGGGUGAUUAAUGUCUGGUAAACUUCCUGAUGCAGGUGGAUUUCUACUUGUAACGGUAGUUACUACUUCUUACCUUCGCAAGCCCAAUGAGUGGGACCUUCCUGCUUCUUGCCCUCAUUUUUGCCCACAUGGGAUUAGUUAGUAUGUGGGGUAACGGCUCACCUAGGCGACGAUCCCUAGCUGGUCUGAGAGGAUGACCAGACACACUGGAACUGAGACACGGUCCAGACUCCUACGGGAGGCAGCAGUGGGGAAUAUUGCACAAUGGGCGCAAGCCUGAUGCAGCCAUGCCGCGUGUAUGAAGAAGGCCUUCGGGUUGUAAAGUACUUUCAGCGGGGAGGAAGGGAGUAAAGUUAAUACCGUUGCUCAUUGACGUUACCCGCAGAAGAAGCACCGGCUAACUCCGUG